AGUGAAUGUAGUGAGUGCAGGGUGUAUAAUUUAGGGGGGAGCAUUUUAUUUUACAUUUAUAUGUAUAUUGUAUUUUAUUACCCCCUCCCUGCUUCUUAGCUUGCCAGGUAGGGGGACUGCAUUCCCUGGUGGUCCAGUGGCAUGGUGGAGGGAGCCAGCCGUUGCACACGGGGGCCCAGCACAGUGUUCCCUCUCCAGCAAUGCUCU